GUGAGGACUUUAGCCACUAGGCCACACCUCUGGGCCAACUUACUCUGUAUCAGCCAGUAGCUUUAUCAGUGAUCAAUGUAGCAUAUAUUGUGUCGAUCUUCCUGAGAAGUCACAAACAGUGCACUCUCCCAGCACAGCCUUCACAGAAAGUAGCGUGAUGGUCUGGUGGGUCUGUUCUGUGCUCCUCUGCACCUGUGAAGUUUCUUGUGGUGCUAGCGCUUAGCUGUGGUGUCAGUUGGAUUUCAUUCAGUCUUUCUGUUGGGUCUCUUGCCUUGUAAAUAAGUUGUGUAGUAACAACUUUCUUCAUUUUUAUAAGGAAUCUAAUGUUUUAUAAGUUUGGAUGAAUAGAGAUACAGAAUCUGGAUGGGGUAUAACCUAACCAUUUCUGUUUCUAAUGUAGCAUUUCAGGCAGGAAGUGAAAACGGAAUAUAUCUGUUUUAAUGGUACAUGUCUGGCCUUAGAUUUGGUUAUUGAGAUAUCGGUUUACUUUUAAAGUAUUCAUUCUUUGGUGUAGUGCGGUGGCAUAAUUUAGUGGAGAUUGUCUGAACAUAUCUUAUGGGAAUAAGGAACUUUGUUUCAAGAAUUUUGCUAUGUAUAACCUAGAGCUGAUGGUAGCAAAUAUAUUUUAGUUGUACAUAUCCCUUUUCUUCUGAGUUUUGAAAAGCUUAAUUAUGAGAGCAUUCUAGCGAUUGCCAUGUUACUUAUUUUCUUUUUUGUAGUCAGCAUAAGUUGAGCUAGGAAAGUGGAAUUGACUUAUGUUACCAGAGUUAUUUUUAGAGAUGUAGUCUCAACUUGUGUUUAGAUCACCAUUUAUGUGGUGCAUUUUACUAUGUGGUACAUUUCGAUGUGUUUUACUCAGUGAUGGGAAUGAAAUGGGGUAGGAUUAAGGUGAGAGUAGAUAUUUGACUUUUUCUCUGAAUUUGUGUAGCUGUUAAAAGUAACGCAGCUCAAGUACUGUGAUGAAAUGCCUUAUCUGUAUUCAGGCUAUUGUUAGCUUUGUUAGGUUUGCUAUCAGUGAGCUACUUUUGCCAUAAACCAAGGAAUCAUUUUCCAAGUUGGAUGUUAUUGGGUCUAUCUAGACAGCAGGGAUACUGAUGAAUUCCACCUAAGACUAAGACCUUUGUUUCAUAGAGUUACCAUGAAGAAAGCAGGACUGAAAGACAUUUUCUAAUGAAAUUAUUGUCAUAUAUUUUUAAAAACUUAUAUUUUCAUCAAAUCACAUAAUUGUAAGAAAAUGGGUCUUUACUAAUAUAAAAUACGAUUACUGUGUUUUGAAAAAAUGUAUUCCAUUUUAAGAGCGAAAUGUUUCACUUUUGAGCUACUUAUAUUUAUUAUUAUUUUUUUUUUGUCUAAGAGCACCUAGGAUUUCCUAACAAUCUAGAAUUUGUGUGUUAUUCCAUAUUUUACUUAAUACUAAUUUAAGGUUCAUCUGUUUGUAUGUGGUGAAGUUG